UCUUGUUAAAAUGGAGAUUGUGAUGUAGUAUGUUUGGAAUGGGACCCCAUAUUCCGCUUUGCUCACAAGCUUUAAGGGAGUGUUGACACUGCUUAGUGUAAGGAGCUCAACCUUGCACGAAACUUCCCCAUACCAGGCUUACAUCCUAUGGAUAGGCAGUUAACAGGUAACAGGCAACCAACAUACAACACAAUCAGUGCUCCAGCGAGGACGUCCUGGAGAGGACAAGGCAGCUUCUGGAGAAGAAGAUGUACAAGCUAUGACCCGGAGGAUGGGCAGCAGCUGGCCAGGAAAGAGGGGCGGCUGUCACAAGAGGGAAGAGGACAGUUCGUGAGGAGGUCCCGAAGGGAGAGUGGAAGGCCUGUUAAGAGGCAUGGCAGGAGCUCACAGGGCAGUGCAGGGAGACUGGGGCAGGAGCAUGGGGUGCCAGGGUCACGUGCUCACCCCCCAGGGUGAUGGCAAUGGAUCCUGGGAUUGAACAUCCAUAGGCCAGAAGAACACGAAUCAGAUGAGAGGUGGAGGUGCUCACAGGAGCUGGAGUUCUGCAGUAGGUCGGGGACCCAAGCCUUGCACACAUGAGUAGAGGGAUGUGGCAGAAGGAGAUGGACUGCGAGACAGACCCCUCUCUGCACCUGCUGUCUCACUGUCAGAUGGACUGUCAGUAGCCUGAAGUUUCUGUGGCCCAAGCUCUAGGCAGGCUGGAUGAGCUGCUCACCCUCCCUCCUCCCCGCACAUGCUGCCCUGUGCUUCUAGCUCCCUGCCUGUAGCUCUGCCCAUCAUGGCCCCCCAGCCCUCCCACCACACCCAGAGGCUGUGCCCUCCAUGCAGUUGUGUGGCCUCUCUGGGCCUUCGAUUGGGGAACUGAUGGGGUUACUGGCAGACUCACCUCUUCAGGCUCAUCUCAUAGCCCUCCCUACCCAGGAACCCUGGCCCACCCUCAUUCCCUCAGACUUCCAGAGCUUUCUCUGCCUAGAGUUUUUUCCUUUCCCUCCCUUCCCACCCACUCCCUGCUUUUUGAUUUGCUAAUUCUUCCUCAGCUUUCAAACCCCAGUCUUCAGUAUUAUUCCUUCAGGGAAGCCUUCCCCGAGGGGCCCAUUGCUCCUUACUUCUGUAUUAGCACUGUGCACAUUCUCCUUCCCUUCUAACCCACAUCACAGUGGUUUUUACCCUACCUUUGUGCUACUGUUGAAUGCCUCAUCCCGCUCUGGGAUUUAAACAGAGUGGGGACAAGAUAUCUCUGACAUGCUCAAGGCUGUAUCUUUUCUCCUGGGUAGAUAUUAAGCCAUAGGUGAGAAGUUGUUGAAUCAGUAAAUGAUUACCUAAGUCAUUUUAAUACAUUUCACACAUAUGUAAGUUAUUCAUUGUACUCAAGACAGGCAUAAAUUUAUGGAAGCUGUUUUUUUUUUUCCCCCAAGGACCACAAAAUUAUAUUGCCCAAUCCUGACCUGGCCGCUAGAGGGAGAUGUGCAGUCAUCAAGCUGGGUGGCCUGUGCGACCCCACACCCUUUUAGAGAGGGGAAGGUUGUUGUUUGGUCACUAUUGACUUUACCCUAUGGAAUUUCUAGUUACUGAAUGAAAUUAUAAAACAUAUAGAAUAUUAUGAUCUGGAAGGCUUGCCAGAGCUGGUCUAGUCCAAUCUUGACACAGGGAUUUAAGUGAGAAUGUUUUUCCCCUGCCUCCAUUGACCUUGGGGAACAGACUUGUUCCCUGGAUAAACCCUUUUCUCUUCAGCAUUCCAAUAUUCUAUUUUGUAGGUGAGAAUACUAUACCAUCUUGAGUCCAGCCACCCAACACAUAUUUAUUGACUCAUUAUGCGCUAGGUUCUGUUAGUUGCUAGAAAGUCUUGUGUACAAUGGUCAUGUGUCUCAGAAUAUACCAUCUGCUUGGGAAGACAAACAUAAAAUAUAUAUAGUUACCAGCUAUGAUUAGCACACAGGAGAAAGGUAGAGCUUGGGGACAGGUCCUGUGAGGGGCACCUGACUCAUUCUAAAGCUCAUCGCAGAACGUUGAAUGGGGCUGGCAGAGGGAUCAGGAGACCAGGCCUUCAACCCCAUGAGCCCACCUGGCUCACCCAAUUCUGGGAGCAGAUCCUCUCUUCUCUUUGGCCUCCUG
ensembl:lincRNA